ACCAGUUACUUUGAUCAACUCAUCUGUGCUGUGCCACGGAAGGCAGGUCCAUUGCUUUCCAGCGUUCCUGGAGAAAAGCAGAGUUAAACUCUCAGAGCCCCAGUGGGAUCAGUGGCCUCAGCAGACAAUCCAGACUGAUCUACCUGGAAACUGGAAUGCCAAGGCACAGCAGGAGAAGGUGAAAUGAACUGUGUGUUUUCAUGCAGAGGUUUAUGCUAAGUACAGUGCACAUGAAAGCACACCAUCCCAAAAAUGAAAUGCUUUCAUGACUAAGUGCUGUAUGGGAUCCACUGGCAUUGCUCUUCCAGGGAAUAAGAGAGUGUGGUGGUCAGUUCUCUCUGCAGGGGAACCCAUGACUUCAGGAAGCUGA
rnacentral:lncRNA from 1 species